rnacentral:rRNA from 1 species
GCAAGUCGAGCGCGCCCUUCGGGGUGAGCGGCGGACGGGUGAGUAACGCGUGGGAACCUGCCCUGAGGUCUGGGACAACCGUGGGAAACCGCGGCUAAUACCGGAUGUCUCCUACGGGAGAAAGGCUUGCCGCCUUGGGAGGGGCCCGCGUUGGAUUAGCUUGUUGGUGGGGUAAUGGCCUACCAAGGCUGCGAUCCAUAGCUGGUCUGAGAGGAUGAUC